ensembl:misc_RNA
CUGACAGCCCUGCUGACUAAAAUCCUGUUAUCUACAGGACAGGAAUAGCAGGGCCAGAAACAAUGCAAGCAUCCCCACCCUGCCACAUCAGUGUUCCUCAGCCUAAGAGCACCUCUAGGGAUGACAGAGCAACCUAGUCUCCACGGGUUUAUGUGGAGAUUGUU